GAUGAACGCUGGCGGCGUGCCUAAUACAUGCAAGUCGAGCGAACAGACGAGGAGCUUGCUCCUCUGACGUUAGCGGCGGACGGGUGAGUAACACGUGGAUAACCUACCUAUAAGACUGGGAUAACUUCGGGAAACCGGAGCUAAUACCGGAUAACAUGUUGAACCGCAUGGUUCAACAGUGAAAGACGGUCUUGCUGUCACUUAUAGAUGGAUCCGCGCCGCAUUAGCUAGUUGGUAAGGUAACGGCUUACCAAGGCAACGAUGCGUAGCCGACCUGAGAGGGUGAUCGGCCACACGGGAACUGAGACACGGUCCAGACCCCUACGGGGGGAAGGAGGAGGGAAUCUUCCGCAAUGGGCGAAAGCCUGACGGAGCAACGCCGGGGGGGUGAAGAAGGUCUUCGGAUCGUAAAACUCUGUUAUUAGGGAAGAACAAAUGUGUAAGUAACUAUGCACGUCUUGACGGUACCAAAUAAGAAAGCCACGGCUAAAUACGU
rnacentral:rRNA from 1 species